rnacentral:lncRNA from 1 species
UUUUUUUUUUUUUUUUUUUUUUAAGAGAGAAAUGUAUCUUCAUUUCCAAGACAUGAAAAUAGAUUAAGCCCUGAAAAAUAAGAAAACAUUCACUAUUAAUGUCACAGAGACCUGAGAAGUAAUAAAAUUUAUAGACUAUAGGCAAUUAUACCACAAAGAAUUUAUUUUUUGAUUAUGCUAGUUUUAAAAACAGGGUCUUUAUUUUUAUUCAGCUAUAGUAAGCGGACGUUAAAAGCUUACCAAAAGUUAUCAGUGUUAGAUCUAAUGAUAUUGGCAGAUAUUUGAAUGACUAAAUUCCCACUGUCAUUCUGUACUGGGCAUGAUUAAAUUGUAAUUUAAUAUUUAAUAAUUAAGCAGGAUCACUUUUCUCUCUUGAAUGAAAAAUAAAAUUUGCACACUAUAAUAUUUACAAGUAAAAGUCAAAUCUGUAUAGAAAUGGAUAUCCUAGCAUCAAACAACUUAUUUUUAGCAACAUGCUGAUUAUUUUAGUAACCAUAUAUUGACUCAUGUUUUCAUUACAAAGUAACUGUCAAAUCAGUCUGUUUAUUUUAUGACCAUGCCUCAUAGUCGGCAUUCAGUUAUCCAUGCUAAUGGAAGGGAUCUGUGGUAUAAUAAUCAUAAAAGAUAAGUGGUCCAGGCUGGGCGCGGUGGCUCACGCCUGUAAUCCCAGCACUUUGGGAGGCCGAGGCAGGUGGAUCACGAGGUCAGGAGUUCGAGACCAGCCUGACCAACAUGGUGAAACCCCGUCUCUACUAAAAAUACAAAAAUUAGCCGGGCGUGGUGGUGGUACCUGCCUAUAAUUCUAGCUACUCAGUAGGCUGAGGCAGGAGAAUCACUUGAACCCGGGAGGCGGAGGUUACAGUGAGCCGAGAUUGCGCCAUUGCACUCCAGCCUGGGUGACAGAGUAAGACUUCAUCUCAAAAAAAAAAAAAAAA